UACGUAGGUGGCAAGCGUUGUCCGGAUUUACUGGGCGUAAAGAGCGCGCAGGCGGUCAGAUAAGUCGAAUGUGAAAGCCCCCGGCUCAACUGGGGAGGGUCAUUCGAUACUGUUCGACUCGAAGGCAGGAGAGGGAAGCGGAAUUCCCGGUGUAGUGGUGAAAUGCGUAGAUAUCGGGAGGAACACCUGUGGCGAAGGCGGCUUUCUGGGCCUUACCUGACGCUGAGACGCGAAAGCGUGGGGAGCGAACCGG
rnacentral:rRNA from 1 species